UAUAUUUUUAUUUACUAAUUAUCCAUAAUUCAUAAUACAGUACAUAACUGUGUUUGACUGUGUUCAUAUCUUCCUCACAGUAUCAGAAAUGACUAGAUCUCUACACUUGACAAUGCUCGGUUUGGGAACAGCUUUGGGUUUGUGUGCACUUCUGAUUUUCUGUCUCACUUAUUUGAUACUGAAGAGAAGAAAAUGUGAAAACUGUAGAUUGAAGGCUUCUGUAGAAAACUCCGCAGGAACGAGGCAUGAAUCUGAAGCUGAAACACUGAAUUAUGCAGCUGUGAAAUUCUCCAAGCAGAAAGCCAAAGCUGAAGAAAGAAAAAAUGGCUCAUUUGAUGAGUGUGUGUACACCGAUGUGAAAUAUAACUGUAAUAUGUAAUAUUAUAUGUAACUGUAAUAUGGAUUCAUAACACAUGGCACUAUUAUGCUGCAAACACAGAAAAAAAAAUAUUUCAGCAAGUGAAAACUUCUUGACUAUGGGAAAAUAUAUUCCUAAUUUGUAAUAUAGCAUAAAUGACACACAGUUACACUACAAAAUUGAGAUUAUAUUAUGACAACUAAAAUAUUAUUAAACCAACAUUAUCAUUAUUUUUUUUAUUUCAAGCUUAACAUUGUCUUAUUUCUAUUAUAUGCUAAUAGGAAAAAUAGAGAAAAGGGUUUACAAUAUCUCAUAAUAAGGAAUAUUAAAUAAUGUUUCCCUAUUUUCAAGAUAUUAUUUUUUUGCAGUGUAGAUAAACAACCACA